GCUCUAAUAGUUUACAAUAAAACCUUGGUCUUGUAAACCAAUAACGAAUAUUACAUUCUUAGAGCC
rnacentral:tRNA from 1 species